CGGAAUUUCAGUUGGUAUCGA
rnacentral:miRNA from 2 species